ensembl:snoRNA Small nucleolar RNA SNORD72
UGCUCACCAAUGAUGGUGAAAAAAAAAUGUCUGAACAAAUGAACUUAAUAUGACAUCACUAUUUUCUCUGAGGUGAGUG